AGAUUUUAAUACAGUAUCUACAUGAAGUUAAACGAAUAGUUACAAAGGCUGACAAAAAAGAGCCAGAGUUUGUUUUUUAUGACGUUUUUGAAUCUAAAAUGAGUGUCUACAGUGUAAAGCCAGCUUUGUUUGAUUUAAUACUUGCUAUUGGUAUUGCAUUUUAUUUGUGUAUUGUUUACAUCUUCGUUGAGAACUUUACUGUGCUAAUUGCUCUGCUUCCAACUUUAAAAAAGCAAAAAACUUAUUAGUUUGUGUUCACACCGUUUUGUUGUAUAUCGCUUUUUAUUUUUUAUAGAAUAAAAUAUUAUAUAACC
rnacentral:lncRNA from 1 species